rnacentral:ncRNA from 1 species
UUUUUGGAGAGUUUGAUCCUGGCUCAGGACGAACGCUGGCGGCGUGCCUAACACAUGCAAGUCGAACGGAGAAUUUC